CACGUAGGGGGCUAGCGUUGCUCGGAAUCACUGGGCGUAAAGGGUGCGUAGGCGGGUCUUUAAGUCAGGGGUGAAAUCCUGGAGCUCAACUCCAGAACUGCCUUUGAUACUGAAGAUCUUGAGUCCGGGAGAGGUGAGUGGAACUGCGAGUGUAGAGGUGAAAUUCGUAGAUAUUCGCAAGAACACCAGUGGCGAAGGCGGCUCACUGGCCCGGUACUGACGCUGAGGCACGAAAGCGUGGGGAGCAAACAGG
rnacentral:rRNA from 1 species